AUUUGGAGAGCUUCUGGGAGAGGACGGACCUGGAGAGGACAUGGAGCCUCUGUGCCCCUCCCCACAAACCUUGUUCUGUGCAUCAGUCCCAUCUGGCUGUUCCCGAGUUGUAAUAAGUCAGUAAACAAGAGAUCAGCUUUGCGAUUUGCCCAACAGCCCUGGGCCAGCUUUGCGGAGGCCAUGCUGACGGCAAGUUGGAGCAAGGGUGUGGGUAAGAAACUGCCAUUCUGAGGGCUGAAAAAUAAGAAAGCAUGAGAUUCUGAGAAACAUAUGUCAAAAUUAAGAGUGUCUCCCUCACUUUCCCUUAGUGCAGAAUACAGAGGCCAGACAGCCAAGCAUCAGAGAUUGGAGCAAUUGUAUAUGUCACAGUGAAGCUUUGGGCAGGAUGCAGUAUCUUAGGAUGUACAUCCUCUAAGAGAAUGUAGAUCAUUAAGCUCAAUUCCUAGCCUUCAUUUUACCUGAAGAGAAAAGAAGCUCCAGUAGUGAGAAACGAU